UGGCUCAGGAAAUUAGUUAUU
ensembl:piRNA 21ur-7294 ncRNA